rnacentral:sRNA from 1 species
AACGCGAACUCGUACAAGGCGAGGCACGGCGAUCACCUCGGGCCAUACUAUUGGUCUGUAAAUUGGUGCCGGUCCCACGCGCCAUCCUCGAGGCGCCGGUCU